GCUGUCAGAAUUAGGGUGUAUUUUUUUUAAUUGUCCACAUACAACUAAAAUAUGAGAGUUUAUCGCUGAGAUUUGACUUAUUUUCAAGUUGACGAUCUUAUGUUAUGUGAAUCGGAUGAUGAGCUACAUAUAAAUAUAGACAGUCGAGCCCGUGGCUAUUUAGUUUAACUUAUCCCGCGAUUCGAAAGAGUUCCGAUCCUAUGUUGACGUAUUUCAUAGUUUGUCUGGCACUUUGUUCAUUGGUCUAUGCUGAUGGCAAAUGGGUGCACCCCACUCGAGAUGAAUCUCUCAGUAUUAGCGAGAAAUGCCGUACUGAGCAUCCAUUGAAAGAGGAGCAGUUAGCAAUAAUAAAAACACAGAUUUAUUUCCCCGAUGAGCCCGAAGUGCGUCAAUAUCUGUUAUGUUAUUACCAGAUGCACGGUAUCUUCAGCACACUCGAGGGUUUUCAUCCUGAUCGUUUGGCCGUCUGGACGAAUAUGGGUCUGAGCGAGGAGGAGGCACUGCAAAUCGCUCAGGGCUGUGUGGAUAGCAACGAGCAAAAGAGCAGUUCCGAUGAGUGGGCAUACCGUGGUCACAAGUGUAUAAUGUCCAGCAAAAUUGGCGAUCGUCAUAGGGCUUUUCUUAAGGCCCCACCGGCUGAGGCUGCUGCCAAGGCAUAAAACGUAAAUAAACUUUGUGUUUUUUUGUGAUUGAACGAAAACUGUUGAUAACGAAUUUUAUUUUUGUUUUUGAUGAACGGCAACGGUUAGUCAAAAUCUAGCAGUAGCUUUUUUACUUGUUCUACGUAGAAGUGAAAUAUGCCAGCUUAUGGAGGAACUUUGACCCCAUUUCAAGCUCACGAUCUUAUGUGCGACAGAUACAAAUAUGGGUCUGAGUCGUUGGUCGUUUAGUUUCAUUUUUUUAUUCUGCUUUAACGGUUCCUAUUCAAUGUUCAAGUAUUUUGUAGUUUGUCUAGCACUCUGCUCAUUGGCCGAUGGCGAACGGGUUCAAGAAAGUGGGAGUGAAAUCAUCCCGAAUAUUGAAAAAUGCAUCAAAGAGUAUCCAUUG